rnacentral:misc_RNA from 1 species
AAGUCGUAACAAGGUUUCCGUAGGUGAACCUGCGGAAGGAUCAUUAAAAAAAUUGCGAAACGGGGGAGCUGUCGCUGGCCUUUCGGGGCAUGUGCACGCUCCUUCAAAUUCAAAUCCAAACCUGUGAACCAACGGCGGAAGGGUUUUUGAGGUGCUGCGGUGCCAACGGGGGGACCCUUCCUGCUCAUCACGCACCCUUUGUAUGUUUUAGAAUGUCAUCUGCGUAUUUUCGCAACAUAUACAACUUUCAGCAACGGAUCUCUUGGCUCUC